ACGACCUUACUUGAACAGGAUCUGUUCUAUAGGAUCGUACUGUUGCAUCCUUGAUUAAUAAGGAGGCAAGUACUUAAACCUGGUUGAUGAGUAAAUGACCUGUGGGCCAGAGCGUGAUUAACGGCCAGGAUUCAGUCUCUGUGCUUUGUCUGGUGCUGUAGAUGAUCGUUCCUGGUCAGGAGCCCCUGGCUAAGGGUGGCCCACAGGUUGUCUGACAGGUC
rfam:Zea mays cultivar B73 chromosome 2, whole genome shotgun sequence.